AAAUGAAUAGACGGGGGCCCGCACAAGCAGCGGAGCAUGUGGUUUAAUUCGAAGCAACGCGAAGAACCUUACCAGGUCUUGACAUCCAGUAAAAGCCAGAGAGAUUUGGUGUGCCUUCGGGCAUACUGAGACAGGUGGUGCAUGGUUGUCGUCAGCUCGUGUCGUGAGAUGUUGGGUUAAGUCCCGCAACGAGCGCAACCCCUAUUAUUAGUUACUAACAAGUAGUGUUGAGGACUCUAAUGAGACUGCCGGGGAUAACUCGGAGGAAGGUGGGGACGACGUCAAAUCAUCAUGCCCCUUAUGACCUGGGCUACACACGUGCUACAAUGGCCACUACAGAGAGCAGCGAACCCGUGAGGGCGAGCGAAUCUCAAAAAAGUGGUCUCAGUUCGGAUUGUAGGCUGCAACCCGCCUACAUGAAGUCGGAGUUGCUAGUAAUCGCGGAUCAGCACGCCGCGGUGAAUACGUUCCCGGGCCUUGUACACACCGCCCGU
rnacentral:rRNA from 1 species